AUUGAACGCUGGCGGCAUGCCUUACACAUGCAAGUCGAACGGCAGCAUGGAGAGCUUGCUCUCUGAUGGCGAGUGGCGAACGGGUGAGUAAUGCAUCGGAACAUACCGUGUAAUGGGGGAUAACGUAGCGAAAGUUACGCUAAUACCGCAUACGACCUGAGGGUGAAAGCAGGGGAUCGCAAGACCUUGCGUUAUACGAGCGGCCGAUGUCAGAUUAGCUAGUUGGUGAGGUAAAGGCUCACCAAGGCGACGAUCUGUAGCGGGUCUGAGAGGAUGAUCCGCCACACUGGGACUGAGACACGGCCCAGACUCCUACGGGAGGCAGCAGUGGGGAAGUAUUGGACGAAUGGGCGAAAGCCUGAUCCAGCAAUGCCGCGUGAGUGAUGAAGGCCUUAGGUUGUAAAGCUCUUUUACCAGGGAUGAUAAUGACAGUACCUGGAGAAUAAGCUCCGG
rnacentral:rRNA from 1 species